rnacentral:rRNA from 1 species
UGGGGAAUAUUGGACAAUGGGCGCAAGCCUGAUCCAGCCAUGCCGCGUGAGUGAUGAAGGCCCUAGGGUUGUAAAGCUCUUUCACCGGUGAAGAUAAUGACGGUAACCGGAGAAGAAGCCCCGGCUAACUUCGUUCCAGCAGCCGCGGUAAUACGAAGGGGGCUAGCGUUGUUCGGAUUUACUGGGCGUAAAGCGCACGUAGGCGGACUAUUAAGUCAGGGGUGAAAUACCGGGGCUCAACCCCGGAACUGCCUUUGAUACUGGUAGUCUUGAGUUCGAGAGAGGUGAGUGGAAUUCCGAGUGUAGAGGUGAAAUUCGUAGAUAUUCGGAGGAACACCAGUGGCGAAGGCGGCUCACUGGCUCGAUACUGACGCUGAGGUGCGAAAGCGUGGGGAGCAAACAGG